CUUUGACAGAAUUCAGUUUUCUUUCCUAGCAAUUCUAUGUAGAAUGCCUUAAACAGCUCCAUCACUGAAUCAUUAUCAAGAAUUCCACUAUUUUUUCUCUGAUGUUAAUUGUGCUAUUCUUGAGGGAGAAAGUUUUUCCUGUUCAUUUGGUUGGAAAAUCAGUUACAACGGUAGAAUAAAAUGAUUCAUUUUCUGAGGUUAAGCAUCUUUGCUCUUGCCUUUUAAUUCUCUUGUGCCUAACCAAGAGCCCCUCAAAGCUGUAGACACUGUACUGCCUCAUCUCCUGUGCCAGCAAGUACUGUGUAGUAAACUUCUAGGUUUAUGGUUCCUCCAAGUCAGUGGAUUUGUACCAAAUAAUAUUUAAACCAAGGGUCACACUUUAAAAAUGACAAUUUUAGUGUUUGACAGUCUUGAUCUUCUUACAUCUUGAUUCCCAAAUGACCUGUAUGGAAACAGUUCCUUUAUGACAAGAACUUUUAUCAUUAACUCCUUGGGGAAUUUACUUUGUCCUUAAAUAUGCAUUUUAGACCCUUCCACCCUUCCUUCCUUCCUUCCUUCCUUCUUUCCCUUUUUUUCUUUUCCUUCUUCCUCCUCCUCCUCUUCUCCUCUUUCUCCUCCUUCCUCUUCUUCCCACCACACCCCCUGGUGCUCUUGAUAGUCCAAAUUUCAGUCUUGUGAAUUUAGGUGAGAAAACCUAGUUUUUUAGUCUGUACUAGAGUAGUAGUCUUUAAUAUGUAUCUUUGAAAUGGAGUUGUUAAAAAAAGUAUUUCAGGAUGACUAUUUUCUUACAGACUUUUUCGCUAAUGUAUCACUUACAGAAAUAUGUUUUCAUUAUUGCAUUUACUCACAUUUUUCACUUAGUUUCUGGCACUAGCAAUCAAACUUUCUGGAAUUCAGAUAUAAGAAGGUGUUAUAGUUAUACUUCACAAGUAAGGGUUUUGCCAUUGUGAAAUAUUUUCUCUUCCUAACUGUAUUUUGCUUAUUGGGAGUUGUCAUCAUCCAAAAUCCUUUGUAUCUAUCCAAGUCCCUAUUUUUAUGCCAAUUUUCCAAGCUUGAUACGUCAGAGUUUUCAGGGUGCUAGUAGACACAAA
rnacentral:lncRNA from 1 species